rnacentral:tRNA from 1 species
CGGAGGAUGGCGGAAUUUGGCAGACGCGCACGAUUCAGGUUCGUGUUCCGACAGGAUUGGGGGUUCGAUUCCCCCUCCUCCGAC